rnacentral:rRNA from 1 species
UACGUAGGGUGCAAGCGUUAAUCGGAAUUACUGGGCGUAAAGCGUGCGCAGGCGGUUUUGUAAGUCUGACGUGAAAUCCCCGGGCUCAACCUGGGAAUGGCGAUGAAGACUGCAAGGCUAGAAUCUGGCAGAGGGGGGUAGAAUUCCACGUGUAGCAGUGAAAUGCGUAGAGAUGUGGAGGAACAUCGAUGGCGAAGGCAGCCCCCUGGGUCAAGAUUGACGCUCAUGCACGAAAGCGUGGGGAGCAAAC